rnacentral:rRNA from 1 species
UUUUGGUGCUUUAACGCAGAGGUCACACCCGUUCUCAUUCCGAACACGGAAGUUAAGCUCUGUAGUGGCGAUGGUACUACUAUGUGGGAGAGUAGCUAGGCGCCAGAAC